GAAAAAAAUUAAAAUAGAAUAGUCAAAGUAAAUAAAUAUUACGUGACAAUUAUAUUUUAUACCAUGGUGCCCCCGGAACUCGAGGCUUCAGGCCUCAGCCCGUGACCAUCAGCCCCUUAAAGAUCUGGCUACGACGAUGACGAUUUUCGGAACGGGUAGUCUCAACUGAAAAGCGAGGAAAAUAGGUGUCUACCAUCCGGAGUCACACGCUCCAUGUUCACUCCACCAUCGGUGUCAAGAGAAAAACGAGAGCGGGACGGCGCGUCGAUACCGUCGGCGUCGGAAAAAGACGUUUUUUUGCUACCGGAACGUUCCACCAUAUAACCGGGCUAAUCACCAUCGCUGAGCACGAUGGCUUUGCCCAAACUUGAGCAGAAACGAUGGCCGAUUCACGCGGCUCCAAUCCGAUAAGUCAGUUGUGGAUAGCGGCGGUGUCUCCUGAACCAGACUCAGAGUGCCUCUACGAAGAGAUAUCGGGGUUCUCGGGCGGUCACGCGGAUGCGGAAUUAGAUAUAAACGAGGAGGUCGCAAGUAGUUACGGGGAUCGUCGAAUAAACAAUAACGAGGAAGAAGGGGGAAGAAGGGCCGUUGUCGAGUACACGUCCAGAGUGGAGGAGCAAUAUGUGGUGCGAGGGAGCUACGGGGGGUCAGGACAAGGUGCCGCACUCGACGCGGCUGCCACCCUCAAGCUGACGAGGGGGCGAACCGCUCGCUACGUAUCACCCAAUUAUCAAUACGGCGGUCAUCAUAACAUUCAACGGUCAAGCGGCAGGUCAACACGCCAACAUCUCGGCCGUGGCUCCUUCAGUAAUGAGACGCAGGAAGAAAUACAAGAGGACGAUGAAGCCACUCUUAGGGAGUUGCUUGUAAGUCUGCAGAAGCAGGUCAGCGUGAUGAGUAUGAACUUGAGUGCCAAGCUGGACGAGCUGCAGCGGGGUGACCGCCAGCUAGAAACAACUGUUGCACUAUGUGAGAUUCGUACCCAACUGCAGGAACUCACGAAAAGCGUUGAAUCUUGUCAGAGCGAAGUCAGUGAAGUUAAACGUGACAUGGUUGCGAUCAAGCACGAGCUAGACACGGUUCAGCAGGUCAAAGAAGAGAUAGAAGAAUUACGAGAGUAUGUCGACCGUCUCGAAGAACAUUCCCAUCGAAGGAAGCUCAGACUCCUUGAACAGGGGCUGACGUUGUUCCUGUCGUAUGCAAUUUUGGCAGCCGUUGUCGGGAUGCUCCAAUUCGGAUACAACACCGGUGUCAUCAACGCUCCGGAAGUGAACAUUGAGAACUUCAUGAAGGACGUAUACAAAGACAGGUAUGGGGAAGACAUUGAGGAGAACGCAGUUAAGAGGCUGUACUCGGUGGCAGUUAGCAUAUUCGCUAUCGGUGGUAUGCUCGGAGGAUUCAGCGGAGGGAUGAUUGCCAACAGAUUUGGCAGAAAGGGGGGCUUACUGCUAAACAACGUGCUGGGCAUCGUCGGGGCAUGCCUUAUGGGUUGCACCAAGAUUGCCCAUUCUUAUGAAAUCCUGUUUCUUGGCCGGUUCAUCAUUGGUGUCAAUUGUGGCUUGAACACCUCGUUGGUUCCCAUGUACAUAUCUGAAAUAGCACCACUUAAUUUGAGAGGCGGCCUGGGCACGGUGAACCAGCUCGCUGUUACGGUGGGUCUCCUGGUCUCCCAGGUUCUGGGCAUAGAGCAAAUACUCGGAACAGACAAGGGAUGGCCCGUUCUAUUAGGUUUGGCCAUUUGCCCUGCCAUUCUUCAGCUACUGUUGUUGCCUUUUUGUCCAGAAUCUCCCAGAUAUUUGCUCAUUACGAAGCAAUGGGAGGAAGAAGCGCGAAAGGCGUUGAGGAGGUUGAGAGCUAGUAAUCAAGUAGAAGAAGAUAUCGAAGAAAUGAGAGCAGAGGAACGUGCUCAACAGGCAGAAUCUUCCAUUUCAAUGACAGAACUUAUAUGCAGUCCGACGUUAAGAGCUCCUCUGGUCAUCGGUGUUGUCAUGCAGCUAUCGCAACAGCUGUCCGGUAUUAAUGCGGUAUUCUAUUAUUCUACAAGCUUAUUCACCAGUUCUGGAUUGACGCAAGAAAGUGCAAAAUUCGCAACGAUUGGUAUCGGAGCAAUAAUGGUUGGUAUGACUCUGGUCUCGAUUCCGCUAAUGGACAGAACGGGACGACGCACACUUCAUUUGUACGGCCUCGGUGGAAUGUUCAUCUUCUCUAUUUUCAUCACUAUUUCAUUUUUAAUAAAGGAGUUUUUCGGUUACGUACAGGAAAUGAUCGACUGGAUGUCUUACCUGUCCGUGGUGUCGACGCUUAGUUUCGUGGUAUUCUUUGCCGUGGGACCAGGCUCGAUUCCAUGGAUGAUCACUGCGGAGCUGUUUUCACAGGGUCCUAGACCAGCCGCUAUGUCUAUUGCCGUACUCGUCAAUUGGCUAGCUAAUUUCUUAGUUGGCAUAGGCUUUCCAAGCAUGCAGACUACUCUCGACAACUAUACGUUCCUGCCAUUCAGUGCAUUCUUAGCUAUCUUCUGGAUCUUCACCUACAAGAAGGUCCCUGAGACCAAAAACAAGACUUUCGAAGAAAUCCUUGCCUUGUUCAGGCACGGUAAUGACAGGAGCAGUUUGCGGGAUAGCAGAUUAUAUGGUGGCGUGAUGUUUUGCAGGAGCAUGCUAAACUGUGUGAAUGCGUUAGAGGAGCACAUACCGCCAGCGGAGAGCGCUGCCCUGAUGGUGGCCGAGGAGAAGCCACAUCCUGACUCAUGUAAGGCCUGUCAACCUGAACAAGAUCACCCUUCAUCACCUAUCACCAUCACCAAGUCCAUCACCGCAAGGCAAACAAUUCCUCAGAGCUGGCUGUAGCCGUAAAGCAUAAAUGAAAAAUCCAAGAUUUCGUAACAUCCGCAUGCGGAUACACGGCAUAUGAUCGGUCCAUCAUUCACUCUCUUCCGAGUACAUACUACCCUAUGGGUGAAUUAUAGGGAUGAUUGCGAACAUGCAAUUAAAUACGUGCUGCUGCAGUCUUAUCUAUUUGAUAUUUGUGUUUGCAGCUGGCUCAGAGCGAUCUUCAAUCGCACCCGCUCAACCGGAGAGACCACCGCCCCCGCUUCCCCCGCCA
rnacentral:misc_RNA from 1 species